rnacentral:rRNA from 1 species
CCAAAUGGGGGUCUUACUCAGUAACGGCGAGUGAAGCGGUAAAAGCUCAAAUUUGAAAUCUGGCUCUUUCAGAGUCCGAGUUGUAAUUUGUAGAAGAUGCUUCGGGUGUGGUUCCGGUCUAAGUUCCUUGGAACAGGACGUCAUAGAGGGUGAGAAUCCCGUAUGUGACUGGAUACCUAUGCUCAUGUGAAGCUCUUUCGACGAGUCGAGUUGUUUGGGAAUGCAGCUCAAAAUGGGUGGUAUAUUUCAUCUAAAGCUAAAUAUUGGCCAGAGACCGAUAGCGCACAAGUAGAGUGAUCGAAAGAUGAAAAGCACUUUGGAAAGAGAGUUAAACAGUACGUGAAAUUGUUGAAAGGGAAGCGCUUGCAAUCAGACUUGCACUUGGUGUUCAUCAGGGUUUCGUGCCCUGUGUACUUCAUCAAGUUCAGGCCAGCAUCAGUUUGAGUGGUUAGAUAAAGGCUUGGAGAACGUGGCCCUCUUCGGGGGGUGUUAUAGCUCCAGGUGCAAUGUAGCCUACUUGGACUGAGGACCGCGCUUCGGCUAGGAUGCUGGCGUAAUGGUUGUAAGCGACCCGUCUUGAACCAACGGACCA